UUUUUUUUUUUUUUUUUUUCCCUUUUUCCCUGGGGGUGGGGUGGUGGUGGAUCAGAUGUCCUGGAUGUAUUUAAAAUGUGGAAUAAAAUUUUUUUGACAAAUAGUCACCGUGAAUAAUGCCGACCAGAAUUAAAAGCUGUCCUCAGUCAUGCCUGUGGAGCUAAACGUUUAAGACCGCCCCAAAGACACGAACUCCCGCUUCUCCCUUCCGAGCUGCCCCCCCCCCCCCCCCCCCCCCCCCCUUUAGCCUUUGCCGUGAGGUCGGAGCGUGAUACUCCCUAGAGGACGGGCCUGGGCCUGACCCCUGGCGCGGCCUCCGGAUGACGGACCUUGGAGUAGAUGGAACUUCCAAGUCUCCGUUCCAUUGAGUCAAAUCCCAACUUUUAUAUAUAAACAUAUAAAAGUUUCUAGCUGAAUGUGUGACUGUAAAGUUAUAUAGGUGAUAUUUUUUCGUUUCUUUUUGUUUUAGCAAAAGACGAGGACAUCCAAAUAUUGUUCCCUUUGUAGUAGUUUCCCUAGAGGAUUAAACGUUUAGUUCCAUGUUAUGGUUCUCCUCAAAAAUAUUUUUAUAGCGCCUUUUUUGGAACUAUAUUCCCACUUCAUGGUGUUUUUAAUGUUAGGAAACAGUGUAAGCCAUUUGGAAUCAUGAUUGAUGGUCAGGUUGGAUUUAGGCUAAAACCCUAAGAACGCCGCAUUCUUUCGGAUAUGUAAAUAAGCUCUCAACUGGUUCCCAAACUGCUUUUACCAGUGGUGUCGCACUCCUGGAACAAGCGUUCCAAGGUCCUUUAAGGACAGUAUUUGAUUUGGAUAGUUAAGGUAUGGUUGGUUGUUGCUUUUGUUUCAUUACACAAUCGUUACUUUGUAGUCACGUGUUGUACAUAUUAAAUAGCCAACUUGUAUUCAGACUUUGUAAAUAGAACUCUUUCAAAUACUUAAUCAUAAAAAAAGCUCAUGUAUUUGCAUGUUCUUUGUAAGCUUCAUUCAUGCUGGUUAUUGCACUGAACGAUGUAUUAUUAGGGCAUGUUAACAGUAUACCAGUAACAGCACUUUAUCUCGUUUAUAUGAACACCUUUGAGGUGCUACUUAAGUCCAAACUGAUGUAUUAUUCAUCUGUAAAGAUAAGGUACAGGAAUGAACCUUGGUUUAAAGGUAUUUUUAUAUGAAAAUGGUGCGCUAUUGGAGGAUGUUAAAAUGCUAAAUUGAGAGAGGUGGGAGUAUAGUUGUUUUAUAUGUUGGGAUGUGAAAUUUAUUUUCUAGAAUUGGGGAGAAGGAAGUUCUAUAUUUACAGAAUGUUUUAAAAACGAAUAGUUGUCAUGAAGUUCUUGUAAGCAUCAUCAUGGUUUUGUACAAAUAGGAAAUCUGGUGUCAUUCUUCAACAUUUGUUUCUGAGUGUGUACAGCGUACUUUGUACAGCUUUCUUUUUUUUUUUUUUUUUUUUUUUAGGCUUUCUGUGAGUUUUGCUAGAAGUACUAUGGCUUAUUUAUUGUUCAUUGUUUUCUUUAAUAUUUGUGAAAGUCUUACUCUUUUGUUAUGUAGUUUUGUUUCUGCACAACUACUGUACUUUUCCAUAUGGAAUAAAGAAUAUUAA
rnacentral:lncRNA from 1 species